GAGUUUGAUCAUGGCUCAGAUUGAACGCUGGCGGCAGGCCUAACACAUGCAAGUCGAACGGUAACAGGAAGCAGCUUGCUGCUUUGCUGACGAGUGGCGGACGGGUGAGUAAUGUCUGGGAAACUGCCUGAUGGAGGGGGAUAACUACUGGAAACGGUAGCUAAUACCGCAUAACGUCGCAAGACCAAAGAGGGGGACCUUCGGGCCUCUUGCCAUCGGAUGUGCCCAGAUGGGAUUAGCUAGUAGGUGGGGUAACGGCUCACCUAGGCGACGAUCCCUAGCUGGUCUGAGAGGAUGACCAGCCACACUGGAACUGAGACACGGUCCAGACUCCUACGGGAGGCAGCAGUGGGGAAUAUUGCACAAUGGGCGCAAGCCUGAUGCAGCCAUGCCGCGUGUAUGAAGAAGGCCUUCGGGUUGUAAAGUACUUUCAGCGGGGAGGAAGGGAGUAAAGUUAAUACCUUUGCUCAUUGACGUUACCCGCAGAAGAAGCACCGGCUAACUCCGUGCCAGCAGCCGCGGUAAUACGGAGGGUGCAAGCGUUAAUCGGAAUUACUGGGCGUAAAGCGCACGCAGGCGGUUUGUUAAGUCAGAUGUGAAAUCCCCGGGCUCAACCUGGGAACUGCAUCUGAUACUGGCAAGCUUGAGUCUCGUAGAGGGGGGUAGAAUUCCAGGUGUAGCGGUGAAAUGCGUAGAGAUCUGGAGGAAUACCGGUGGCGAAGGCGGCCCCCUGGACGAAGACUGACGCUCAGGUGCGAAAGCGUGGGGAGCAAACAGGAUUAGAUACCCUGGUAGUCCACGCCGUAAACGAUGUCGACUUGGAGGUUGUGCCCUUGAGGCGUGGCUUCCGGAGCUAACGCGUUAAGUCGACCGCCUGGGGAGUACGGCCGCAAGGUUAAAACUCAAAUGAAUUGACGGGGGCCCGCACAAGCGGUGGAGCAUGUGGUUUAAUUCGAUGCAACGCGAAGAACCUUACCUGGUCUUGACAUCCACGGAAGUUUUCAGAGAUGAGAAUGUGCCUUCGGGAACCGUGAGACAGGUGCUGCAUGGCUGUCGUCAGCUCGUGUUGUGAAAUGUUGGGUUAAGUCCCGCAACGAGCGCAACCCUUAUCCUUUGUUGCCAGCGGUCCGGCCGGGAACUCAAAGGAGACUGCCAGUGAUAAACUGGAGGAAGGUGGGGAUGACGUCAAGUCAUCAUGGCCCUUACGACCAGGGCUACACACGUGCUACAAUGGCGCAUACAAAGAGAAGCGACCUCGCGAGAGCAAGCGGACCUCAUAAAGUGCGUCGUAGUCCGGAUUGGAGUCUGCAACUCGACUCCAUGAAGUCGGAAUCGCUAGUAAUCGUGGAUCAGAAUGCCACGGUGAAUACGUUCCCGGGCCUUGUACACACCGCCCGUCACACCAUGGGAGUGGGUUGCAAAAGAAGUAGGUAGCUUAACCUUCGGGAGGGCGCUUACCACUUUGUGAUUCAUGACUGGGGUGAAGUCGUAACAAGGUAACCGUAGGGGAACCUGCGGUUGGAUCACCUCCUUA
rnacentral:rRNA from 1 species